GAGUGACUAAGUGAUUCAUUGAGCCCAAGUGCUGACAUAGGCUACCCUAAAGGUCAGCUCUUUGUCUGAAGCCUCUCCUACCAGCAGUGUGUAACGGGGCUUUCUGGGAAGAUCAUGUUCUGCUUGGUGCUUGGCUUCUUAUCUCUGUGUCUCCUCAGGGAGAGCUCAUCCCACAAAUGCUCUGCAGCUGAAGAAUUGCUCCUAAACUGAAUGCGAAAGGUUGGUUCCUGCCAUGCAAUAGAGGAACAGGCGCCUGCCUCCCGUCUGCCUUCCAGAACCCCAAGCCCAACCACGGAGGACCUGUCACUUCACAGGCAAAUACAGCAUGUUCCUUCCCAGACAGCAGCAGAACUCACUGAGUCUAUUCAACAGCUCGGUGUGGGCUUCUGCCCCUUUUAGUUUGCACAGAAGCUUAGUGAAGAGACUGCUCAAAUACGGAGCUCCAUCUCUUAGUCUGAGACGUUAGCCUUGGUACUCUUUCACAUAUGUGUUGGCAAGAAACUUUGUCAGAACGCUUGGCACCUCAGAGGAAGGGAGUUACGUGCCUUGAACUGUAGAUUUUUUGGUAGAUACAAUUCACUGCUGUCUGGAGUGGGGAAAGCCAAUCUGAAUCUGUUUGAGGAAGAUCAGUAUCUCAGUUUUGCAGCAGAUCUCAGUUUCCACCAGGGGAAAGAUCUGGCAGCACUGCUGGGUGCCCAGGGUGCAUCAGCAAUGGAACAGACAAGUCCACAGCGCUCCUGCAGAAGUUAAGAAUAUGCUGAAUUAAGAACAUGCUUUAAUCCCUGUUUUACCUUAGCUGCAGGCCUUGGCAGGAUGGUUUGUCACUGCACAGUUGCCAAUGAUAUUUAUUGCAUCUGACUGCACUUCAUUGCCCAGAGAACUUCACGCAGUCCCUCUGACCCCCCCACUUCUCCCCAUCCUGUGCCUUGAUGAUCCCAUGGGUCUGAAGCUCAUCUGUGGAGACCAGCCAGGGAAGGCACUGCACACAAUAGCUUGGAGGAAUAAUAGAAGGCUCAGAGAAGACGUCAAACUCUGGUAAGAUACUGGGAUGCAGAUGCAUUUGGGAAGGCUACAGCAAUUACAGUGCCUGAGUUAACCCAGUGCUGACUGUCAACAGAAAGUCCCUACUUUGUUUCUAGGGAAAACUUGAGAUCAUCUUGUAUUU
rnacentral:lncRNA from 1 species